rfam:Oryza nivara chromosome 5, whole genome shotgun sequence.
CCUCUCGAUGAUGAAGAAUUCACUUCGUAUAUCCUCGCUGGUUUGGACAGUGAUUAUGAACCGGUGGUUUCCUCUAUUGUUGGGCGAUCUGAGGGAGUCACAAUAUCUGAAGUUUACUCACAACUUCUUAGUUUUGAAG